rnacentral:rRNA from 1 species
UACGUAGGGGGCGAGCGUUGUCCGGAAUCAUUGGGCGUAAAGAGCUCGUAGGCGGUUCGCUAAGUCAGGUGUGAAAUCUCCACGCUCAACGUGGAGGGGCCACCUGAUACUGGCGUGACUCGAGUCCGGUAGGGGAGUGUGGAAUUCCCGGUGUAGCGGUGAAAUGCGCAGAUAUCGGGAGGAACACCAAUGGCGAAGGCAGCUCGCUGGGACGUGACUGACGCUGAGACGCGAAAGCGUGGGGAGCAAACAGG